GGUAGGCCCGGGGAUAGUC
rnacentral:misc_RNA from 1 species